CAGCCAUGCCGCGUGAGUGAUGAAGGCCUUAGGGUCGUAAAGCUCUUUCGCCUGUGAAGAUAAUGACGGUAGCAGGUAAAGAAACCCCGGCUAACUCCGUGCCAGCAGCCGCGGUAAUACGGAGGGGGUUAGCGUUGUUCGGAAUUACUGGGCGUAAAGCGCACGUAGGCGGACUGGAAAGUUGGGGGUGAAAUCCCAGGGCUCAACCCUGGAACUGCCUCCAAAACUAUCAGUCUAGAGUUCGAGAGAGGUGAGUGGAAUUCCGAGUGUAGAGGUGAAAUUCGUAGAUAUUCGGAGGAACACCAGUGGCGAAGGCGGCUCACUGGCUCGAUACUGACGCUGAGGUGCGAAAGUGUGGGGAGCAAACAGGAUUAGAUACCCCUGGUAG
rnacentral:rRNA from 1 species